GGGGGCAUGGCUCAAUGGUAGAGCAUCUGACUCUUAAUCAGCUGGUUCCAGGUUCGAGUCCUGGUGCCCCCACCA
rnacentral:tRNA from 1 species